rnacentral:rRNA from 1 species
UACGUAGGUGGCAAGCGUUGUCCGGAUUUACUGGGCGUAAAGGGCGUGCAGGCGGUUUGUCUAGUCUAGGGUGAAAGCUCCCGGCUUAACUGGGAGAGGUCCUUGAUACUGGCAAACUUGAGGGAGGCAGAGGAAAGUGGAAUUCCCGGUGUAGUGGUGAUAUGCGUAGAUAUCGGGAGGAACACCAGUGGCGAAGGCGGCUUUCUGGGCCUUACCUGACGCUGAGACGCGAAAGCGUGGGGAGCGAACCGG